rnacentral:lncRNA from 1 species
CACAUUCACUCUAUUACCAUAGAACCCAUAAGUUAAAUCUCUUCCCUCUCUAAGCCUUGAAUAGUAACUUACAGUAGGGCUCGAUUCAAUUCCUAUCGUGGAAGUUUGGCGCUAUAGCGGGAUUGAAAUUUGAAGGCAAUGUUCCCGCGUUCGUGGAGACUGCAUUCAUGGUAAACACUGCCAAUGUCGGCUCAAUAGGAAAUUACAUUUAAAUUUCAAUGCCGCUAUAGAGCUGAAUUUCCAUCAUAUGGAUUUCAUCAAGCCCUUAGUGCCAAUUCACACGGUGCAUUGGACAUGUUAGCUCAGUUUUCUGUCAAUCAAUAAAAGUAUUAUACGAUUUCUGACUGUAUUUCACAAUGCAUUAUAAUGUCAGUUAAGUUUCCUUCUGUUAUACACGUCGCAUACUGCAUGUUGCUAUUCUGUUUAGAUCAAUAGAUAGACUGCUUUAUUAAUCCGAUAGAUAGGCUACUUUAUUAAUCCAAUAGAUAGGCUACUUUAUUAAUCUGAUAGAUAGGCUACUUUGUUAAUCUGAUAGAUAUGAUACUUUAUUAAUCUGAUAGAUAGGCUACUUUAUUAAUUUGAUAGAUAGACUACUUUAUUAAUCCAACAGAUAGGCUACUUUAUUAAUCUGAUAGAUAGGAUACUUUAUUAAUCUGAUGGAUAGGAUACUUUAUUAAUCUGAUAGAUAGGCUAAUUUAUUAAUCUGAUAGAUAGGCUACUUUAUUAAUCCAACAGAUAGGCUACUUUAUUAAUCCGAUAGAUAGGCUGACAGCCAAUCAAAACAAGUGAAAUUAAGUUAGUAGGGUUACGGUUAGGGUUAGGGAAGGUAAGUAGUGUUAGGGUUAGGGAAGGUAAGUAGAGCUAGGGUUAGGGUUAGUUAAGGUAAGGUAAGUAGGGUUAGGGUUAGGUUUAGGGAAGGUAAGUAGGGUUAGGGUUGUGGGGAAUGGAGGGAGGGAAGAUUGGGAGAGAGGGUGGGAGGAGAGGGAGAGACAGAGGGAGAGAGGAAUCACAGCAGCAAGAUUUGUGACCUGUUGCUACAAGAAAAGAGCAACCAGUGAAGAACAAACACCAUUGUAAACGCAACCCAUAUUUAUGUUUAUUUAUUUUCCCUUUUGUACUU